AGAGUUGAUCAUGGCUCAGGACGAACGCUGGCGGCAUGCUCAUACAUGCAAGUCGAACGAUAAGGUCUCUUCGGAGAUACAUAAGUGGCGGACGGGUGAGUAAUAUGUAGGAAAUCUGCCCUAGAGAGGGGGACAACAGAGGGAAACUUCUGCUAAUACCCCAUAUGAGCGUACCUGAAAUGGUAUUCUUGAAAACUCCGGUGCUCUAGGAUGAGCCUGCAUCUGAUUAGCUUGUUGGCGGUGUAAUGGACCACCAAGGCGACGAUCAGUAGCUGGUUUGAGAGGAUGAUCAGCCACAAUGGGACUGAGACACGGCCCAUACUCCUACGGGAGGCAGCAGUAGGGAAUUUUGCGCAAUGGGCGAAAGCCUGACGCAGCAAUGCCGCGUGAACGUAGAAGCCCUUCGGGGUGUAAAGUUCUGUCAGUGGGGACGAAUUUUGACGGUACCCACAGAGGAAGCACCGGCUAACUCCGUGCCAGCAGCGGC
rnacentral:rRNA from 1 species